GCAUGGUCCGCUGGACCCGCCACACCACACCCCGCCCACCAUGCGGAUGCGGCGCUUCCUCUCCGUUCCCUUUCGCCGCGGUCUGUCCUCCGCCGCCACCGCCGAGCCCAGCCUGGCCUCCUCCGCGGAACACGCGUAUCGCCUCCUCCGCCGCCACCACUCCGACCCGCAGAGGCUCGCAGCCGCGCUGUCCGCCUCGGGCCUCGACCCCACCUCGCCACACCUCCUCGACGCCGUCCUCCGCCGCUGCGGCGCCGCCUCUUCCCUCGCUCUGCACUUCUUCCACUGGUGCUCCCCGUCGCUGCCCUCGCCGCUCCCGUCCUCCCUCGCGCUCCUCGCUAAGUCCUUCUCCCGCGCCUCCUCCCCGCCGUCCCCGUCCCUCCUCGCGCCGCUCCCCUCCCAGCUCAUCGGCCCCUCCCUCCUCUGCCCCGUCCUCCGCCGUCUGCCGCAACCGCGCCUCCUGCCGUUUGCGCUCUCGCUACUCUCCGCCCGCCCUGACCACGAUCACCCCGCCCUCUUCCUCUCCCUCCUCGAGUCCCUCUCCAAGGCUGGCCACGUCGCCACCGCCGAGCAGCUUGUCGAGGAGUUCCAGCCCCGGAUUACGCUUUCGCUCCGCCACUACACGGCUCUGCUUUACGGGUGGUGCCGCCUGGGCAAGCUCGACGAGGCCAAGCACGUGCUGGCUCGCAUGAAGGCUGCGGAUGUCGCCCUCGACGUUGUCGCCUUCAACACCCUGCUCGCCGGCUUCGUAGCGGACGGGAGAUUCGAGGACGCGUUCGAGCUGGCGCGGGAGAUGGAGCGGCGUGGCUGCCCGCCGAACGCGGUGUCGUACACCACCCUGAUGCAGGGGCUUGGCGCGAGGGGGAGAGUCGAUGAGGCCAUGCGGGUGUUUGUGGAAAUGCGGAGGAAGGGAUGCACGCCUGAUGCUGUCACUUAUGGCACACUGGUUAGCGCAUUUUGCAAGACUGGCAAGAUAUCCCAGGGGUAUGAGUUCUUGGACGCCAUGUCAAGGGAAGGCCUGCGGGUGGAUGCUGCCGUGUACCAUGGGUUCUUUAUAGCGCAUGAGAAGAAGGAACAGCUCGAGGAGUGCUUGGAACUGAUGGAGAGGAUGAGGGAGUGCCGGUGUCCGCCAGAUCUCAAGAUAUACAAUGUGGUGAUUCGGUUGGCCUGCAAGCUUGGGGAGACCAAGCAGGCUAUGGCAUUGUGGAAUGAGAUGGAAAAUGGAGGUCUCAGUCCUGGGGUCGAUACAUUUGCUAUCAUGGUCAGUGGGCUUGUUGGGCAGGGGGCACUGAUUGAGGCGUGCAGUUAUUUUAAGGACAUGGCUGGGCGGGGGCUCUUCGUUGCACCACAAUAUGGAGUGCUGAAGGACCUCCUCAAUGCGCUGGUCAGAGAUGAGAAACUUGAGCUUGCAAAGGAUGUUUGGGAAUGUAUUGUUAGCAAAGGCUGUGAGCUUAACGUGAGUGCAUGGACCAUCUGGAUCCAUGCAUUGUACGCUAAGAAACAUGUCAAGGAGGCCUGCUUGUAUUGCAUAGACAUGCUCGAGGCAGGCCUGAUGCCACAGCCUGACACAUUUGCGAAGCUGAUGAAGGGAUUGAAAAAGCUCUACAACCGUCAGAUUGCAGCUGAAAUCACUGAGAAGGUGAGGAAGAUGGCUGAGGAGAGACAUGUUAGCUUUAAGAUGUAUAAGAGACGUGGGGUGAGGGAUCUUGAAGAGAAACCUAAAGCAAAGAGAAGGAGAGGACAGAAAAAGAGUCGCCGUAGGCAGUCUGGUCAUGGUCAGUCUAGUAGGAAUGCUGAGCUUUUGGAUGCUUCCGAUGAAGAGGAAUUUUCUGGCUAAGUUAAAAUAGAAUUGUAGAGGGCAAUGCAUCUCUGCUUUGUUGAAUUGUUCCAGGGAUUUAUGGACUUACAAAGCAAUAAAGAAGGAAAAGCUGGUUAUAGUACCUGAUCAAUGCAGUAUCCUUAUGCCAAAGAUGUAUCAGGUUUGCAGUCUUCUGCCAAGAUCCAAGUGGUAUCUUGAUUAUGUCUGAAGUUCAUGGUCCACUAUCUGUCGUCAUGCAGAUAUUUGGAGGAUUACUGACCCAUAGGAGGGAUGUGAUUCAUAGUAGCUUCCCUUCAUAGAUUUGGCAACCAGGAGUUGCAGCUGGCAACUGCAUUUGAUGUUGCAGAAUUCAGCUGGAAGUGCUCCAGCAUAUUCUGAUUCUUUGAAAAUCAAACUUGGUGGAGUAAUGUUGGGAAGACAGCUGUUCUGGAAAAGGAAGAUAGUAGGCUUUUAGAAUGGAUGAGGUUGGAAUGCUAUAAUCUGACGAUGUAUGCUAUGAAUGGCAAGAAGAUGCUCUUAGUUUUGCUGCAAGAUGGAUGCUCUGAGUUGAUGCAUCCUUGUAAGUUGCAACUACUGCUAUCGGACCACUUAGCUGAAGAAGACGUUCAAGUUCACUAAUAUUUUUUUUCUGAGCAUGAAGCACACAUGAAAUGUGAAGAGAAACAGCCGAUGCAAGGUGCGACCUGCAAAUUUGGAUUAUCGCUCAAGUUAAUAUGGGAAUGGCACUACUCAAGCUGCAGUAGCGGCCAUUGAGGUCUAAUACCACCAGAGGCACUUCAACUGGCAAUCUGGCAUGAAUCGAAGAUGCUGGGGGUAUGAAGUGGUGCCCUGCUACAUCAUUUGAUGAAUUAUUCCUCUUGAUUUACUUGCUAAUACCCAUUACUUUUGCAAGCUUAUCUAAUGCAAUUAGGUAAGGAACAGUCACGGUGACGAUUCAGGCUUUAAACCCUAUUCAUGACCACCUGCGUUAUAAUGUCCUUUCUGAUCACUUGGGUUUGGUGAGGAAAUAUGCACGAGUUAAGCUGGGGUGCUCAUGUUCUACCAUUUUAAACCCUUCCAACGGUGGUACUGGCUCAUAUCCCCUGUGUCCAUAGUUUUUCUUGAUGCUUUUUAGAUGAACUGUUGAUGCCCUUUUUAUACUUUCGUAGCUAAUCUUGAUGGCCUUUUGUCCUCAAUAAAUCUUGAUGGCUUUUACUCUCUUUGUUAUGCUAACAAAAAAAUGACGUUUCAAUAUCUUCCUUUGGAUAAUAUAGGGAGUUUUCUCUUCUUUUUUGGUUGGAGGGUUUUAUUACCACCCGGUUUAGAAAAAAAACAAGCCAAAGUAACUGCAUAGAGGUAUAAUUGUGAAAACAAUACCUAGAUAAUGAUAAUCUAGAACGUAGGAGUAAUCUCUUUCAUUUUUAACAGCUUGAUUGCUGAUGGAUCAGGAACGUUAGUAGUUCGUCUGCCGCAUGGAAGUGGUUCCUCUACACUAACUGCAUGGGGACUGAUCUCUCGCUGACGUGUGGAUCCAACUGCCGUCGGGCGUCGGCCCAUAUCGUCCUUUCGCCUUCGCCUUGAGACAGAACUGAUGAUCUGGAACUACUUUGGUCAAUCUAACAUUGGGUGAUUUGGUGACACCCGGAUAUCACAAUGAAGACAACAUUUUGCUGAAGUGUCGCAAACUGUAGGAUUGUGUUGUAGCCACCAUUAGCGAGGUGGUGAUUGUGGAAUUUGUUUGUUCCAGAGUCCAGACUUAGCAGUUGCCUGGUAAUAUUCGUGAAUGUGGUGAGAAUGUAGUACUAGUAUUUAUUUUUUCUCGAAUAGUACUAGUGUAACAGCCCAAAAUUUCAAAUAUAAAUAAAAUUAAAUAAAUCAAUAAAUCAAU